UUGAGCCCACACACCGCAGCUACUGAAGCCUGCACGCCCUAGAGCCUGUGCUCUGCAACGAGAAGCCACCACAGGAAGAAGCCCUCACACAGACACUAGAGAGUAGCCCCUGCUCGCCUCAGCUACAGAAAAGCCAGCACAGCAACAAACACCCAGCACAGCCAGAAAAAAAGGAUGCCCCUUACAAUGCCGGGGACACGGGUUCGUCCCUGGUCAGAAAAUUAAGAUCCCGCGUAUUGCAACUAAGCCUGUGCCACCACUCCUGAGCCUGUGUGCUCUAGAACAGCGGUCCCUAAACUUUUUGGCAUCAGGGACCGAUUUUGUGGAAGACAAUUUUUCCACGGAGCUAGGGUGGAGGGGGUGGUUUUGGGAUAAUUCAAGCACAUUAUAUUUAGUGUGCACUUUAUUUCUAAUGUAAUGCUGCUGCUGAUCUGACAGGAGGUACCGGUCCAUGGCCUAGAGGCUGGGGACCCCCGCUCUGCGGGGACCCCGUGCACGGCAACAAAGAUCCCACAUGCUGCAACUAAGAUCUGAUGCUGCUAAAGAAAUAAAUAAAUUGAUAAAUAAAUAGCGCAACACAGUGCAUAUGUGGAUUUUGGGAUCAGAUGCCUUCCCCACCCCGACCCCACAGGCCUGGAGCCUCCCCUGCUGCCCAGCCCCGUUGUCCGUGUGGUGCCUUGUGCUGACCUGAAGGUGUGGGGCUGAGGGAGUCCACGACUUAAGCCUUUAAACAAAAAAAUGUACGUGCAGUGCAGGUUGUAGUGUUACUAGUUUCCGUGAUAAGAACAGGGAAGUGUGGGGUCUUGUCUGAAAAGAGAGAAAGUGGUGGGAAGCCAGAAAUGCGUGUCCUAUGCAAGGACAGGCUUUUUAACCCAUAAUAAGAUUCCCCAGGACCAUCAGGAGCUCUCAUGCUCAGCUCUGUGCCAACUGAAUUGAAUGAAAGGAGGAGGCAUGAGCUGUUAUAAUAAGUACGUGUCAACUUUGAUGAACAGCUGUCAGGAGCACCAGACUGUGAAAGAGUCUGAGAACCACACUUUUCAAGAAAGAAGGGAAAGGUGACUCAUUCAAGGUCAUUUCACUAGUGAUCAGCGGCACCUGCCUGGAAUCCAGUCAAGUCCAGAGGCCAGCAGAGCCUCCGGGGAGGACACCCUCAGUGUGCUCUGCCCCACAUCUACCACCUUCGUAACUUUCACACAGGACUGAAAUGAGAGGCAAGAGGGAGGAGGCGGGGAAACACAGCAGCCCAGGGGCCCGCUGGCUAUGAAUGAGACUUCUGUUUGCCUGCCCUGUGCAUCUGGAAUUUUGUAUGAAAACAAUGAACUGCGAGGAGGUGAAAGUGUGUGCUCUAAAGCAAGGCCACCCUCCCAUCCCCGCCCCCACCUCGCUUUAUAAAAGACCUGCUUUGUGUCAAGCACAGCAAAGGAGAAGCUGGGGAAUAUGCUGGGGUUUCGGGGGAGUUUAGGUGUUUGGGGCUGACAUCGCCAACGUCUGGGAGGAGGCAGCUAUCAGAAAAAUGGGGUAUCAAACUAGAACCUGGGAUUUUAAACUCCAGUCAUUUCCCUAACUGCUCUCCUAUUUGCGUAAUGCUCUACACAAACUUGUAAAAUGCUUUCUCGGCCCUUUUCUCCACAGAGCGAGAGCUUGGGGAGGAACAGAGUUUCUUCCCGCGGGCUGUCUGGGUGGCCCUGAGGGCACGCUGCUUUGCCCAUCCUUGAGCGUUGGAGUGGGGUCCUGUCUUCUGCGCCCUCUGGCUUUAUCUUGUGCAGGUUAACCAGUCAUGAUGCCAGCUGCACGAGGGUGGAUGAGAGUGGAGAACAAGCUCCCAGGAACUGGAGAAAACUGAUCGUCUCACUCCUCUUCCCGUCAGUCACUCUGGAUCCUCGUAAGCUUCCUGGUAUGGAAAACAUCCUGCUUGGAUAAGAGCUUUGAUCAUAAAAAUGCAAUAAAUGCCCAGAGCCUGAGAUCGGAAUUUUUGGAAGGGACUGUAGGAGAUUGGAAGGGGAAAUUUGGUAUCUCCCCACAGGGAGGCCAAAGCACGGUCAACAUGGAGAAAAUCGGAAAACUCACAGGGCAGUGUGGGGCUGCGGCAGGGCGGCGAGCAGACAGUCCUGCCAGGAGAAGCUCAUUUUAAUAGGGGGUUGAAGCUACACACAGAUGACCCCUGGGAUGGAAAGUGCUGGGGGAGGAGGAGGGUCACAGAAAAAGUCCUCCAGGGGCUGAGGGCAGGGAGGCUGCUUGGGGCAUUUUUGAAGGCGACUGGGAGAGACAGAGCAACAAAUGCCCUGCAUAGAAUGUGGCCUCAUGAUAAAUUCCCUUUCAGCUGAAACUGGCCUGCUGGUUCUGCGCAAAGUGUGGAGGGGCACCCUCUGCACACCCUGCUCCCUCUGUCUCGAUCAUUUAUUCUACCUCAAAUAAAUGUCAGGGGUCCUCCCAAACCCGGCUCUUCCUCCAGGCCUCACUCCAGUGUGCGCAAAACCACUCACAUACCUGACAUUUUCCUCCCUUCCCCUUUGCACUGCCUUCCUGUAACAUCCUCCCAAAAGCUCAAAUCUUUCCUUCAAGGCCUGUCAGAGCCUUUCCCCCUACCAAUGUCUCCAGCUGUUCCCUGGAACAGUCAUUUGAUUCUGAAAGGAGAGGCGUCAGUAUGACGUAGGAUUCAGUAGACACUUCAUGAGGAGGCAUGGAGGAAGCUAUUUUGAACUGACCAAUCCUACCACACUGUUUGCAGUGCAGACCCUCUGAGAGCCAUUUCUGACUAUCCUGACGACGCACUGGUGGCUGGAGGAGGAGCCUCAGACUGGGAGGUGGCCUUGCCACAUGGCAGGGACAGUUUGAGGGACCCAGCUCACUGGACCUCAGGCUGGCUUGGGUGGGUGCAUUCCCUGGCUGCAGAGUAGUCAUGGAAGGAGGAGGUGAGUUGUAGGGGCAGACAGAUGGAACUGGGACCCGUGCAGUCUGGAGACACAAGGACUGCAGACUUGGUGGCAAGGAACACUGUCUGUUACAGGAGAUGCUGCCACAUGCGGCUGGCUAUGUGCUUCCCGUUGCAAGAGGGAGCCAAGUGAAAGUGGGGAAGCAUAUAAAGAUUUGUCUUGGCCCACAAAAGCAGCUCCCAAAUGUCCAAUCCUCAGGGCAGUCUAUGAGGGUGCAGGGUGACCUGAAAAACAUAAGGGCAGCAUGCUGAGGGCUUCACAGAGUUAGUCCAUUUAAAGGACUGUUCUUCUGGGUUUUUUUUUUCUUUUUUUUUUUUGAUACAGGUCCCAGAAUCCAAAGAGCUCUGAAAACCAAGUCUUUGGUUUGGCAUCAAAACUCAUCUGGCAGAUAAUCCUGUCCUGAACUGACACAUGGUUAUUUAUAGCUUUCACUUAUUCCACUUAGUUGAAUAUUCAUAUGGUUCACUGCAAAAAUUUUACAUGUUAUUAUGAAGUAUUCUAUGCACCACAUUACCUUUCAAAAUGUACAAACUUUCAAUCCCAAAACAAAUCUGGCUUCUUCCAGGGUUUCAUAAGGAAUUACAGACAGCUAUUAGAUGCAUCCUGUUUUUUAGAGUGAAAGUAAAUAGUAGCUGUGGUUUGUUUUGAAUAAAAAUUUAAAAUGUUACUGCUCGACAAAAUAAAAUGUUGGCAACCCUAA